rnacentral:lncRNA from 1 species
UACAGGAGGUCAAAGGCAACAUCACCAGGGGAGCUACAGUGAUAGUGACCUAAAGAAAAAUGGGGGCAGAGUUAACAAAAGAAGGAGAAAGGAGGAGGAGGCAUCUCUUCCAGAGUUUUGUCAUCAGCACGGUCAGGGUGCUAGCCCUGAGGAUGGGCCAGACACAUCAGGUUUUCGAGUCUGACUGUAUUGAUUGAGCAAUGUCACAUGCCCCUCACAGUGUCUGGAUUCGCCUUUACAAAAU